AAAGACCUGUUGAAUUAUGCAGAAACGGGCAGCGUUUAGGUCAUGUAAUUGAUUCUGUUGGAAAGGGGAGAAAUUGUGCUUUGCAAUUGUAAUGACAUUACAGUUGAUCUGGAAUUAUUACGUUUUUGGGGCGCUAAAAUAAGGGCAAUUGUACCGACCAAGGCGAUGUACGAGUUUACGCGAGAUCGAAUCUCCGAGCUGACAAGCACUGAAUCCACCCGCCAUCACUGCAGGGUCCGCCAUCUGCACGUGCAUCUUCAACAGGCAGGUGACCUGAUAGACGCCCUCCUCUGACGACCUUCCAGUGGCUUCUUAGCAUCAAUCUCUGUUUGCAACUCA